rnacentral:rRNA from 1 species
AGUGAACGCUGGCGGUAGGCCUAACACAUGCAAGUCGAACGGCAGCACAGUAAGAGCUUGCUCUUACGGGUGGCGAGUGGCGGACGGGUGAGGAGUACAUCGGAAUCUACUUUUUCGUGGGGGAUAACGUAGGGAAACUUACGCUAAUACCGCAUACGACCUACGGGUGAAAGCAGGGGAUCUGUGGACCUUGCGCGAUUGAAUGAGCCGAUGUCGGAUUAGCUAGUUGGCGGGGUAAAGGCCCACCAAGGCGACGAUCCGUAGCUGGUCUGAGAGGAUGAUCAGCCACACUGGAACUGAGACACGGUCCAGACUCCUACGGGAGGCAGCAGUGGGGAAUAUUGGACAAUGGGCGCAAGCCUGAUCCAGCCAUACCGCGUGGGUGAAGAAGGCCUUCGGGUUGUAAAGCCCUUUUGUUGGGAAAGAAAAGCAGCAGGUUAAUACCCCGCUGUUCUGACGGUACCCAAAGAAUAAGCACCGGCUAACUUCGUG